rnacentral:rRNA from 1 species
UGGGGAAUUUUGGACAAUGGGCGCAAGCCUGAUCCAGCCAUGCCGCGUCCGGGAAGAAGGCCUUCGGGUUGUAAACCGCUUUUGUCAGGGAAGAAAUCCUUUGAGCUAAUACCUCGGGGGGAUGACGGUACCUGAAGAAUAAGCACCGGCUAACUACGUGCCAGCAGCCGCGGUAAUACGUAGGGGGCAAGCGUUAUCCGGAAUCACUGGGCGUAAAGGGUGCGUAGGUGGCUUAUCAAGCCAGAUGUGAAAUCCCCGGGCUCAACCUGGGAACUGCAUUUGUGACUGCAUAGCUGGAGUGCGGCAGAGGGGGAUGGAAUUCCGCGUGUAGCAGUGAAAUGCGUAGAUAUGCGGAGGAACACCGAUGGCGAAGGCAAUCCCCUGGGCCUGCACUGACGCUCAUGCACGAAAGCGUGGGGAGCAAACA